rnacentral:rRNA from 2 species
UCCCUUAGUAGCGGCGAGCGAACAGGGAAGAGCCCAGCGCCGAAUUCCGCGUCUCAAAGGGCGUUUGGAACAUGUGGCGUUUAGGAGGAAUCUCUCCGAGGGCAGACGGUGUCGCAAGUCCCCCUGAACGGGGCUGUGAUCCAGAGCGGGUGCGAGGCCCAUAGCUGGUACCGUCUCCUUUGGGUGUCCCCUCCUUGGAGUCGGGUUGCUUGGGAGUGCAGCCCUAAUUGGGUGGUAAACUCCACCUAAGGCUAAAUACGUCCGUGAGACCGAUAGCAAACAAGUACCGUGAGGGAAAGUUGCAAAGAACUUUGAAGAGAGAGUUCAAGAGUACGUGAAACCGCUCAGAGGCAAACGGGUGGGCCCACGAAAGCCGAAGGCGGGGGGAUUCAGUCGAGAGGACGGUGGGGCAGGACUGGCUGGUUGGACGGACCGUGCCAGGCCGGGUCAGUUCCCGAGAUCUGCCGCCUUUCGACGCAUUUCCCCCUGCUUAGUAGGACGCCGCAACCGGUUGGCGCUGCAGCCAUAAGGGAGAGUAAAUGGAAGGUAGCCAGUGAGUUCUUCUUCGGAGGCGCGAGCUGGUCCUAAGCCGACUCUCCUGGUGCUUGUGGCCCGACCGUGGUCGUGAGUCCCUCAACGGGAUGUCGCCGAGCCCUCUGACUGGAGCGGGAGAAAUGGCAGGCUGCUUUCCGCGGAAAAAAUCGAUCGCUUCACGCGUGCAGUGGGCGAUCUCCGGAUGUAGCUGCUGGUGCAUUUUUCUCCUGCGCUGGGCACAGGCAGUUGGCGGCGAGUAGGUCGGUCACCCACCCGACCCGUCUUGAAACACGGACCAAGGAGUCUAACAUGUGCGCGAGUCAUUGGGUCUUGAACAAGCCCAAAGGCGCAAUGAAAGUGAAGACCAGCACUGAAGCUGGUGGAGUUGGGAAACUGCGUCACUGAAGAUGCAGUUGCACCAACGGCCCGUCCCGUCCGCAUCGUCGGUGGGGCGGAGCGAGAGCGUACACGUUGGGACCCGAAAGAUGGUGAACUAUGCCUGGGCAGGACGAAGCCAGAGGAAACUCUGGUGGAGGUCCG